GGAGUCUAGCGCGUGCGCGAGUCAUUGGGUGCACUAAACCUAAAGGCGCAAUGAAGGUGAAGGCGCGUUUAGCGCGCGCCGAGGGAGGAUGAGCGAGCUCCGGCUCGCUCCGCACUCCCGGGGCGUCUCUUUCUCAUCGCGAGAAAAGGCGCACCUAGAGCGUACGCGCUGGGACCCGAAAGAUGGUGAACUAUGCCUGGUCAGGUUGAAGUCAGGGGAAACCCUGAUGGAGGACCGUAGCGAUUCUGACGUGCAAAUCGAUCGUAGGAACUGGGUAUAGGGGCGAAAGACUAAUCGAACCAUCUAGUAGCUGGUUCCCUCCGAAGUUUCCCUCAGGAUAGCUGGCACUCGUAAUGCGAGUUUCAUCCGGUAAAGCGAAUGAUUAGAGGCAUUGGGGACGAAACGUCCUCAACCUAUUCUCAAACUUUAAAUGGGUGAGAUCUGCGGCUUUCUUGAACUUGAAGCCGAUCAGAGUCGAAUCUAGAGUGCCAAGUGGGCCAUUUUUGGUAAGCAGAACUGGCGUUGUGGGAUGAACCAAACGCAGAGUUAAAGCGCCUAAAUAGACGCUUAUAAGACACCAUGAAAGGCGUUGGUAACUUAAGACAGCAGGACGGUGGCCAUGGAA
rnacentral:rRNA from 1 species